UACGUAGGCAGCGAGCGUUGUUCGGAGUUACUGGGCGUAAAGGGUGUGUAGGCGGUUGUUUAAGUUUGGUGUGAAAUCUCCCGGCUCAACUGGGAGGGUGCGCCGAAUACUGAAUGACUUGGAGUGCGGGAGAGGAGAGUGGAAUUCCUGGUGUAGCGGUGAAAAUGCGCAGAUAUCAGGAAGAACACCUAUGGCGAAGGCAGCUCUCUGGGACGGUACUGACGCUGAGACGCGAAAGCGUGGGGAGCGAACAGG
rnacentral:rRNA from 1 species